UCCCUGAAGGUCUAGUGGUCAGGAUUCGAUUGCCAGGAAGUAUGAUAAAAAAGUAAUAUCAUUUAAAAAUGGCAAAAAAAAUGAUGGCCAAAAAACAAUGAGGGUUGUGUGUCCCUGAAGGUCUAGUGGUCAGGAUUCGAUUCCCGGACAGGGAA